AUUUGGUUUUGUGAUUUAUGUACCCUAUUCCCUGUAGUAUUAGGAGAGGUAGAAAGAAUCACGAGUUAAAUGAGAGAUUUGUUUAAGCUGAGGGAUAACUCAAAAAUCAUUGGCAGGCCACGAGAGUUUUCCUACUCUUCUAAACAUCAGCACAUACCAAGAAUUUACCCUUGUUUUUUUCAGGCAAUUAAAUCUCUUUCUCCCUCAUUGACUCUCUAAUCUCCAUUAAGAAACCAUCUAUAUAUAUAUAUAUAGCAACCUUAAUCUCUUACAUACACAUACCUUCUCAUUAGGCACCUUUCUCUCUUAAUUUCUUCUUUUAUAAACACCAUUCUUCUUCUCCCAUUGAGAGUAUCAUGGCGGACCCUAACCCAUUCCUUCCUAUAUCUCAACCACUUCAUCCUACCUACACUUCUCUCCCAGAUGGCACUCACCCAUCUGGAUCUCCGGCCACCCACAGCCUCCCCUCUAAGAAACUGCUCCUCGGGAUCUUUUUCGGGUUUUUGCUGGUUUUCUUGUUUGUAGCUUUAAUUGGUGAUCACAAUGGAUCACAGCAGAACAUUCUUUCACAAGAAGAUGAAAAUGUAGCGUCAUUGGCUUCGCCGAAAGAGACGGCGAAACCGGAGACUUUGAGGCCUAUCUCCCGUGGCGUCUCGGCCGGUGUGUCUGAGAAAGCCAGCCUGAUAUCUAGCGGAUCGGAAUCGUCGACGGAUCAGUAUCCAUGGAACAACAGCAUGUUAUCAUGGCAAAGAACUGCUUUCCACUUCCAACCUGAAAAGAACUGGAUGAAUGAUCCUAAUGGUCCAUUGUAUUACAAGGGCUGGUACCAUUUCUUCUACCAGUACAAUCCACAUGCUGCAGUGUGGGGUGACAUUGUAUGGGGCCAUGCUGUAUCAAGGGACUUAAUCCACUGGCUUCACCUUCCAUUAGCAAUGCUUGCCAAUCAGUGGUAUGACCAAAAUGGUGUAUGGACUGGCUCCGCUACCAUCCUCCCAGAUGGAAAUGUUGUCAUGCUGUACACUGGAUCCACCAACGAGUCAGUUCAGGUGCAGAAUCUUGCAUAUCCAGCAGACCCCAAUGAUCCUCUUCUCCUUGAAUGGACCAAAUACUCCGGCAAUCCGGUUCUAGUCCCACCACCAGGCAUUGGCACCAAGGAUUUCCGUGAUCCAACCACAGCUUGGUACACUUCCGAGGGAAAAUGGCGCAUCAGCAUAGGGUCUAAAGUUGGCAAAAGUGGCAUAGCUUUAAUCUAUGACACUGAGGACUUCAUAAAUUAUAAGUUGCAACCUCAGGCACUUCAUGGUGUCCCUGGCACUGGCAUGUGGGAGUGUGUGGACUUUUACCCUGUUUCGAGGAAGGGUGAACAUGGAUUGGAUACGUCUGAUGAUGGCCCUGAAGUGAAACACGUGGUUAAGGCAAGCCUUGAUGAUGAUAAGCAUGAUUACUUUGCACUCGGAACUUACGAUGAAUUGAACAAUACAUGGACUCCAGACAAUCCAGAGAUUGAUGUUGGUAUUGGUCUUAGGUAUGAUUAUGGAAUAUUCUACGCAUCCAAGACAUUUUAUGAUCAGAAUAAGGGGAGGAGGGUAUUGUGGGGUUGGAUUGGCGAGUCUGAUAGUGAAGUUGCUGAUGUCAAGAAAGGAUGGGCAUCUCUUCAGGUAUGUUUGCAUUUCGACUAUGGGAUUUGAACAUUCACAGAUUUAACAAAGUUAAAAAAGUUUAACUCAUGGAAUUUACCAAACUCUUUCUGUAGGGCAUUCCAAGGACAGUCUCGUUAGACGCAAAGACUGGCAGCAAUCUGCUUCAAUGGCCAGUGGAAGAGGUAGAGAGUUUGAGACUACGAAGCAGUGAAUUUGACAAGGUGGAGGUCAAGCCGGGUUCAGUUGUGCCCCUUGAUCUUGAUGCAGCCACACAGCUAGAUAUCGUUGCGGAGUUUGAGUUAGACAAGAAGGUAUUGCGGAACACAGCUGAAUCCAAUGAGGAGUUCAGCUGCAGGACAAGUAAAGGAGCAGCUCACCGUAAUGCAUUAGGACCAUUCGGUCUUCUGGUUCUUGCUGAUGACAGCCUUGCCGAGCAUACCCCUGUAUACUUCUACGUUACAAAAGGAAGUAACGGCACCCUCAAAACUUUCUUCUGCACAGACCAAUCAAGGUCUUCUGCAGCAAAUGACGUUAACAAACAAAUUUAUGGUAACUUCGUUCCAGUCCUGGAGGGUGAAAAAUUCACUCUAAGGAUAUUGGUGGAUCAUUCGAUAAUCGAAAGCUUUGCCCAAGGGGGUAGAACAACCAUCACCUCCCGGGUUUAUCCAACAAGGGCAAUCUAUGGAAGUGCCAGGCUCUUUUUGUUCAACAAUGCCAUUGAAGCCAAUGUUACUGCUUCACUCAAGAUAUGGCAAAUGAAUACUGCGUUUAUUCGUCCCUAUCCAAAUAUCCGGUAGACUGUGAAACUUAUCCUUCCAGGUCUACCUCAUUUGUUGCAAUUUGUACAAUAAUUUUUUUUGCCUUUUGCAAUUUUUUGAAUUUGCCUGGUUCUUUUUCAAUUUUGUUUUCAUUUUGAUCAUUAGAUGUGAAAGGUCAAAGAGAUAGGUCUACUAGAAGUAGAAGAGCAUAUGUAAACAUGUUUCUUUGUGCAAAGCAUAUGGUGUGAUUGCAUAUAUAGCGAUUGAUUCUGAAAGUAUAGUAUUUGAGGGUGUCUGGAUAACAAGUCAUCUGACUUCACUUUCUAAUCAAGUUCUCUAACCUCUAACUUCAAUUGAUUUUCUGACAAGUCCUCUUUAACUUUUUUAUUUUUCUUUUCCUUUUUUGGUAUUGAUUUAGUUCUUCAAUGGUGGCUGGAAUGAUCUAAUAGGCAACUUGAGCCGCAUUGUGUUGAAUUCCAUGAGCACCAGAUGAUUUCCAAAUGGAUUAAAAUUAACAUGCCAUCAUCUUUAAACGAGGGGAAUUCCUUUGGUUUUCUUGUGGACUAAUUACGAAAGAUGAAUGACCAUUCACUGACAAUAGCUACAACAGCUAUCGAUUUGUAAUAUUGUGACUUGAAUUGAUCAAAGGACACAACUUCUUGCCCUUUUGCAACUUGUGACUUGCUUUGAGCCACUGAAAUGGAGAAAUCAGAUUAUACCGUGCUAUGAGUUGGUUUUUCUUUGAAAUUUAAAACCACAAUAAACAGUAAAAGUGAAAAGAUACGUGUGGAAGGGAUUAUUUGGAGGGUCAAAGGUAAUGACUUGUAAGCUUGUUAUUGCACCUUGGGAGGGCUGGUUUAUGGCAACUUGAAGAUGGAUGAUUUUGAUGAUUGAAAUUCUGGUGGCAUGGAUUGAAGAUAGCUUAUGAGGUGGUGCAGGGAUUGAAGUUAGCUUAUGAGGUGGUGGGUUUUGUAGUGCCUAUUCAUGAUUCACAAUAAACAGUGAAGUGAAGGUGUUACCACAACCAAGUGGAUUCCACAUGCACCCACAAGGGUGGAUUCUUUAUUAUAAUUUUUCCUUGGACUAAUAUGUCAAUUUCAGCAAAUGUCAAACUAAUUUGCAAAUGUGGCGUAAGGGACUUCUAAUUGAUGAUAGUCGUUGAUCAGAAACAGAAGAUGGAACAAAUAUGAAUCUUAAUUGAUGUUGAAUUUCAGACCCUCAAUAAAUUAAAGAAAUUGAUUAUGGUCCUAUUUCGUGGUGAAUUAGGCCAAAAGGUUUAUGGAUUAACCCCUCACCGACAGAAUUAGUACUGGAAGAGAGUUUAUGUGGAAUUUGGGGAAGG
rnacentral:misc_RNA from 1 species